rnacentral:rRNA from 1 species
GACGAACGCUGGCGGCGUGCUUAACACAUGCAAGUCGAACGGAAAGGCCCUGCUUUUGUGGGGUGCUCGAGUGGCGAACGGGUGAGUAACACGUGAGUAACCUGCCCUUGACUUUGGGAUAACUUCAGGAAACUGGGGCUAAUACCGGAUAGGAGCUCCUGCUGCAUGGUGGGGGUUGGAAAGUUUCGGCGGUUGGGGAUGGACUCGCGGCUUAUCAGCUUGUUGGUGGGGUAGUGGAUUACCAAGGCUUUGACGGGUAGCCGGCCUGGGAGGGUGACCGGACACAUUGGGACUGAGAUACGGCCCAGACUCCUACGGGAGGCAGCAGUGGGGAAUAUUGCACAAUGGGCGGAAGCCUGAUGCAGCAACGCCGCGUGCGGGAUGACGGCCUUCGGGUUGUAAACCGCUUUCGCCUGUGACGAAGCGUGAGUGACGGUAAUGGGUAAAGAAGCACCGGCUAACUACGUG